GGGGGCGACCUGGCUUCGACGUGGGUCGUGAAACUCUAGGUGCAUGCCGAGCUGCAAAUAACUCGUUAAACUGAUUGCAAACUUUUAGUUGCCAACGACGACAACUACGCACUAGCAGCUUAAAAACCUAGCUUAGUGCCUUCCGCCCGAAGCAUGCCCGUAUGCGUCGGAGCCCGGGAGUCACCCUAAACGGGAUCGCGGUGAAGCACGCCUGGUGUGGACCUGUUAAAACUUAUCCAGGAUCGUUGAUUGUUUUCCCUGCCGACCGGGUAGCCUUCAAUUAAAACAAUAGGACGGAUAAGCAUGUAGAGCCGAAAGCAGAUCACUUGCGGACGCGGGUUCGAUUCCCGCCGCCUCCACCA
rnacentral:tmRNA from 1 species